rnacentral:lncRNA from 1 species
AAAACAGGUGGCGCAAACGUAGCAUUGGAGAAAAAAUGUUGUGGCGCAAAAGGACACAUUUUUGGCGCAAACGGAUCUCUCCCAUUAGAUAUAAAUAAAUAAAUACAUUUUAUCUGCUUUAAUAUUUUAAUACAUUUAGGAUACUGAUUUAUCACAGUUUUAAGACUGGAGUAUUGACAAAACAAAUGGUUCAAAACAGGAGCUAAAUGUACAUAAAUAUGUCCACAGAUUGAUGUUUCCACUGAACCAAGAAUAUGCAACAAUUUAAAAUUAUAUCUACAAUAAUUAAAGUUUAAAAAUGUCCUAUUUCUGAAAUUAAAAAUAAAUAGAUAUAUAGCAUUAAUUUCAAAUAUAAAAAAAAAAUUCUCAGCUUUUUUCAGAUUUGUUUUGGAAC